rnacentral:lncRNA from 1 species
UCGUUUCCACCCCUACCCACACCCCAACACCCAUAUAAAUAUAUGUAUAAACAAGAAAUGUUACCGACCGUCCCUACAGCAAAUGGCAAAAGGUUUGGUGGUUGAUAUCCGAGACCCAAGUUCGAAUCCUUAUUGAUUCAUAUUUAUAGCUAAGUUUAUUUCUAAAUAAAAUAAACGAAACAGAUAACGUGCUAUCUAUCUCU